UACGUAGGUGGCAAGCGUUGUCCGGAAUUAUUGGGCGUAAAGCGCGCGUAGGCGGCUCGGUAAGUCUGCUGUGAAAGUCCAGGGCUCAACCCUGGAAUGCCGGUGGAUACUGUCGAGCUCGAGUCCGGAAGAGGCGAGUGGAAUUCCUGGUGUAGCGGUGAAAUGCGCAGAUAUCAGGAGGAACACCGAUGGCGAAGGCAGCUCGCUGGGACGGUACUGACGCUGAGAAGCGAAAGCGUGGGGAGCAAACAGG
rnacentral:rRNA from 1 species